UACGAAGGGGGCUAGCGUUGCUCGGAAUCACUGGGCGUAAAGGGUGCGUAGGCGGGUCUUUAAGUCAGGGGGGAAAUCCUGGAGCUCAACUCCAGAACUGCCUUUGAUACUGAAGAUCUUGAGUUCGGGAGAGGUGAGUGGAACUGCGAGUGUAGAGGUGAAAUUCGUAGAUAUUCGCAAGAACACCAGUGGCGAAGGCGGCUCACUGGCCCGAUACUGACGCUGAUGCACGAAAGCGUGGGGAGUAAACAGG
rnacentral:rRNA from 1 species